GGUGAGGUGGCCGAGUUGGUUAUGGCGUCAGGUUAAGGUUACCUUAACAAGUAGUUAUCCUGAUGGGGCAACCCGCGCGAGUUCGAGUCUCGUCCUCAUCA
rfam:Microdochium bolleyi strain J235TASD1 unplaced genomic scaffold Micbo1qcscaffold_4, whole genome shotgun sequence.